CGCAACCGUUAGGAGACUGUCUGGAGUCUGUCUCAAAUUGAUAAAUUUGGAAAUGGAGUUUUACGGGUCUCUGUGCAUCUACAAGGAAGCCUCCCGCUGGGAAAUUUGGAUCUUUGCGCUCCUCCUCAGACGUCGCUUCACAUUGAGUCGCCACGCAUUGACGAAAUGUUUAUUUUUCUUCUUUAGAAAACAAAAAGCCCAAAGUUUUUUUUCCCCUCUUCUGCAGUCCAUCAGCAGGCAGACAGCUCCUUGUGCCCAGGGAGUUGAUCCUCACCCAUGGAGUUCAAGAUGAGUGCAUCAUGCACGAGGCAGCCUAUAAAAGCACAUAAAGCCGCUGACAUUGACAGUUAUGAUUUCCUGUCAACAAAUGUGCAGAGAGAGCUGUGUUGGUGGACUAGGAGGAAGAUGUCACACUAAGGAUGGGGUUUUUUGGCGAUGAUGUUGGUGCUGUUGAUGCAGCAUCGAGCUCUCACUUUGUGCCUCUGUCAGCUAUGAUCCGUAACCAUAAAGUGAGUGACAGGCCAUUCUCCGGAGGGAAAGCAGAGGUCUGAGAAGCUCAGGCUCCUUUCAGAGGCAGCGAAGAAGACUGACCGUCUCGAAGACAGUGCUGGGAGCAGCCCCCAAUCUGCUCCAACGCUAGUCGCUGGCCGUUAGAUAUGGCGUUCAAAGACUAGCGGUGCAAGUAUGGAAAUGCAGAUAAGGCAUUGUUGAGGAAACAUGCCUGGGAAUUGUUCAAGGUUUUCAGUUGCAUAAUCUUUGGAUGUUUUUUGUUGUUUUUUUUUUUUGCAAAUGUUUUAAUCUGGAAAGUAAUGAAUGUGAUUUUGAUUAGAUUUCAUGGAGAUUUCUUAUGUUUACACAUACA